rnacentral:misc_RNA from 1 species
UGCAGCAGCAUCAAAGAAGGCCAUGAUAAUAAAAUAGACUAAGAAAAUAUAAUCAGUAAUAAGAAGGAUGAGAAGCAGGAGCAUAGUGCAUACAAAACUAAGGUUCUCAAAUUUCAAAAGAUAUUUAACUUCAUUAUCCUCUACAAAGUCUAAUGAAUGCAUUGCCAAUAUAUUUUACACAACAAACAAAAAUCUCUACUUAUUGGAACCCAUUUUUCUUUUUUUUUUUUU